GUACCUGCGACACAUGGCGCGAGGGAAUGGUAAUUAAGAGCGAUUGGGGCAGACGUGUUGUGAGAUAUUGAGAUUUUACGCGUAUCUUGAUAAAUGGUUUGAUUGGUUUAAAGGAGCAAAUAGGUUAGAAUAUAGUGUAUAGGGCAAAGGAGGCACGAUGAAUUGAGAAUGAAAAAUCUUUGAAUGGAAAACUUCUUUCAGUAGAUUUAGCGAUUAAUUUAGCUUGUCUUGAUUGUUUGUCGAUGUUAUAAUAUCUUGAUAUGUAGAUAUAUGGUUCGGUUGGUAAAGAGGUUAAGAAAUGAAGAGGUUAGAAUACAGAGUCUUGUGCAAAAGGAAUAAGUUGUUUAUUGAUGCAAUCAGUUUAAGUGCUCGGCUUUUUCGUAUAUUUGUUAGAAAAUGAGGAGAACACUGUAAAUUGUAAAGAAAUGGAAGAACAUCGUUUUGAAAGGUUAAUAAGAGGUAUGUUCUUUUUAUGAAAGAUGAAACAUUAUGUCCUAUAAUAUUUGUUUCUUGUAAUUGUUGUAUGAAUUUUAUGUGUUUAACCAACGUGACAUAAUUUAAAUUAAUAAUGAUCCUUCUUUAGGAAAAGAACUGGAAUUCAAUUGAUUAAUGCACCUGUGGGAUUGAUCAAUCAAGUUAGCUUCCAUAUCGAUAACGUGAUCAAGGAGUGUCAAUCGAUCGACGCCUCCUGGAAAUGCUUUUUGAUCAAACAGAACUUGAUAUGCUUCGAUUUAUUCGAUAUGCAAUAUCGAAUAUCUCUUUGAUUUCUGUGACGGUGAAUCUGAUAAAGAUGCACGCGCAUAAAUAAUUUCGAUGCUUGAGAAUGAUUGCUUCAAGAAUUCGCCGUGUCCCACAAUAAAAAGAAAGAUAAACGAAUACAACAUGAUUAUGAAAUUUCCUAUAUCGAUUGUGAGGAAAAUAAAAAUAAAAGUUCGAAUUACACAAGUAAAUUUUUAAUGGAAGGGUUAGCAAGUUUUACGAGAUGAAUCGAAGACCUUAAACGUUUUAUGUAUCGGCGAUCACGAUGGUCGAUAUUCAUCAUUCAUGAAUAAUUCAGAAAUGAAAUGCUUACAGUUACACGGGACACGUGACGGACUCCUCCCUUGGACAAAACACUGGAAUGGGUCUGCAGUGUUUUAUUUCGCUUACGGGAUCGACGUUUGACCCGAAUCUUUUCUCAUUUAUAUUUCGUUUCUACUUCUAAUGUUUUUAUUAUGUAAAUAACUAAUUGUAAGUAGGAGAAAAGAAGAAUAAUAAUAUAGUAGCAAUGGAAAUACAGAUCACAUCAUGAACAUCAUGGUCACAUUACCGCAAAUCUAAUUUCUGUAACUUAACCUAAAAAAAAAUGGACAUUUCAACCACCACAUACAAGAAUAUAUAAUCGAUAAAUAUCAUUAGAUAUAUCUUGAGUUAAAAAUAAACUCUAACGGCCAGAGUACAAAGAUAAAAUCGAGGGACCAUAGUUAUGUCAGUAUUCUAAGCAU